rnacentral:rRNA from 1 species
GUGGGGAAUAUUGGACAAUGGGCGCAAGCCUGAUCCAGCAAUGCCGCGUGGGUGGAGAAGGUCUUCGGAUCGUAAAGCCCUUUCGACAGGGACGAUGAUGACGGUACCUGUAGAAGAAGCCCCGGCUAACUUCGUGCCAGCAGCCGCGGUAAUACGAAGGGGGCUAGCGUUACUCGGAAUUACUGGGCGUAAAGGGCGCGUAGGCGGCUCUGUUAGUCAGGCGUGAAAUUCCUGGGCUUAACCUGGGGACUGCGCUUGAUACUGCAGGGCUUGAGGCCGAGAGAGGGUGGUGGAAUUCCCAGUGUAGAGGUGAAAUUCGUAGAUAUUGGGAAGAACACCGGUGGCGAAGGCGACCACCUGGCUCGGUUCUGACGCUGAGGCGCGACAGCGUGGGGAGCAAACAGGAUUAGAUACCCCUGUAGUCC